UAAUUUUGAUAUCCUAUCAUUCUGGUCGUUUCACUUAGUUUCGCAAAGAAGAUAACGAUUGUUCAUCCCCGAAAAUCCUAAUAGCAUCAGCAAUCAUCAAGCAUGGGCAUAAUCCAGUGUAAAUCUUUGAUUCUUGCUUCCAAUUUAUGAUUCUCGCGAAUCAUCAUUGCUUCUUCAGUUAUGUUUUGGACUCCACACAAUCAGAACUGCUAUCUCCUAAAAAAUCUUGAAGAAUUGUAUGUACAAAGAGAGAGUUUAAUGGCGGUUACCAAGAAGGCAGUGGUGGUGGCGCCGAUGGUGGUCGAAAUCCUGAAUUCGGGUCAAGCGUGACGGAUAACCUAUAUUCGAGUCACUAAUAAAUGGGCCUAAGAAAUCAACAAAACGGACUGGAUAUGGCAGGGCGCCUACGAUUCUGAUGCUUUUUCUGACCGGAGAAUUAGCAAAACAGGUAUAUACCGAUUUUAAAUACUAUGGUGAGGCUAUGGGUCUGACUUCAUGUUGUUUGUAUGGUGGAGGUGGAGCAUCCAUUUCUCCUCAAACUGUACAGUUGAAAAAAGGGGUGGAUAUUGUUGUCGGAGCAGUCGGUCGUGUUAAGGAUCACAUUGAGAGAGGGUAUCUUGACUUAUGCUCAUUGAAAUCCCGUAUCCUUGACGAAGCUGAUGAAAUGUUGAGGCAAGUCAAAGGGAUAUGGAUGGACAAAGAUAGUGUUCAUAAUUGACCCGUAUUGGAAAAUUAUCCUUUUUGAUCAAUGUGUAGGCCGUUCAAGCGAAGCAUCAGGGUUUGGUUUUGGUUCUGGUUCUGGUAAGGCAUAUUUAUUGGAGAAAUUUAAGACACUUGACAUGUUCAUUUUGCAGAAUGAUUGGGAAGUUGUGAAACAUGGUUGGCAUGCUCAGAGAUGAAGAACAUACCCAGACAAGAAUAUGUAGCUCACUUGAGAUGGUAAUUUGGUGCUACUGAUGUGAAACUUUCUGGUGAACCAAAACUCCCCUUUUUUCUGCACCGUUUCUCAAUGGACAUAAGGGUAAACGUGCAUCCUAAGGUUAGGUACGUCAAACCAAUUUUUGUUCAAGUAACCUUUGUUUCUUUUAUUGCUUCUUCCAACUAAGCAUUGAAAGUUCACCAAUACCAUCUGCCUUGUGACUGCGAGAGGGUAUUUGAGUAUUUGACUAUAAGUAGGUGUUGUUUCUAAUGAUUCAGAUGAUAAAUCAAAUAUAUUUAUUCUGCAAUUUACCAAAGUGAUGCUUAUAUGUUGUAUUCAUGGGCGAAGGAUAAGAGGGGCGGGGAGGGGCGCCCGCCCCCCCCCCCCCCCCCCCCCCCCGAAUUUUUCGCUCAGUAGUGUUAUAUGUGUAGUUUUCGUAUAGAAAUUUGUGGGUAUAUACGUUUGCGCCCCCCGAUUCUAUAGAAAUUUUUGGGUAUAUACGUUCCCCCCCCCCCCCCCCCGGCCGAAAAAUUCAAGCUUCGCCACUGGUUGUAUUAAUCAUAUAUCAUAUAUAAUUUAUAUAUGAUAUGAAGAUAACUUAAAAGUAAGUUUUAGAAGGUGCAUUAUGUGUUUUGUGUUUUGCAUACAAGGAUGAUUUUAGAAAUUCUGAUGGUGAAGAAGACCAUCCUGCUCAUAGCCUUUUACUUGAUCCAACCAACUAUUCUUCAAUUGAAAGUAAUUUGACUUGUGCUGGCUUAGCAGGACUACGGUGUUGUAAGGAUCUUUCUUGUAAAGAGGCUCGCCAAGCAAUUGAAGACUCCAGAGCUUCUGGUAUUCAAGUAAUGGCUAUAACAGGGUUAACAAGAAUACAACAAAAGCAAUUUGUCAUGAGAUAGGUGUGUUUAGGCCGGAUGAAGACAUUAGUUCAAAUAGCAUAACAGGAUGACAGUUGAUGGAACACCGUGACCCAAAAAGUCAUUUGGCUAAAAAAGGUGGACUUCUUUUUUCCACGGCUGAACCACAUCACAAGCAAGAGAUAGUGAGGCUGCUCAAGGAUGUUGUUGAAGUGGUUGCGAUGACUAGAGAUGGGGUUAAUGUUUAAUCCACUUUCAUUAUUUAAUUAUAUUUUAUGACCAUGUUGACUGUGCUACUUAUUUAGUUUGUUCUAUCGCCAAUUAGAAGUGGGAUUUUCACAUGACAUAUUUGUAGAAUGGGCUACCGAUGUAAGAAAUCUUGUGUUUUUUUACUGAAAGGGGCCAGGUACGUUCUAAGUUAUCUCAUAACUUUUAUCUUCUGUGUUUAGACUCAAGUACCUCACUUAGUGGUCUUAUCUUGCAUAAUAAACAUAUUCUCAUUACUUAUAAUUUUAUUUUUAGUUUGGUACUCGUGCAAGAAUGCUUCAAUUAGACCCACCUUCUAAUGCCAUUAUAGUUAACCGAUCUAAAAGGGUUCCACUGGUUCGGGAAGAGUUAGCUACAUACGAAGAAGAGCAAGAAACGAUUAAAAAGGAAGUGGCUUUAAAAGCCACUCUUGUGAAAGAAGAGGAGUCGAAAGCUGUGGUUGAUGCUGAUGUUAGCAAAACUGACCCAAUGCUAAUUGACGACCAUACGAAAGUGGAUGAGGAACUGCUAAUGGAAUUGACUUGAUGAGGAAACAUGACCUAAUUGAUGUUGUUGAAGCAAGUGUGAUGUCGUGUUCACUUAUAAUGUACGUAAGUACCUUUUUAUCUUAUGAUUUUCCUCAAGUAAAUAAUGGUGUCUCUUUCCUUUGAUUUUCCUCAAGUAAAUGAUGGUGUGUUUUUUCUCCAUUAUUUUUAUACACGAGUCUUCAAUUAUUUGAUGUAGAGGUAGCUGUUGUUGCUAUUGUUGACAUUCUUCACAUAACUCAUGCUACGGUACCUAUGAUAAGUAAACUGUUUUCUCAUUUUUAUAUGGUCAUCUAAUAUCUCUCUAUAAAUAUAUAUAUAGUACUAUAAUUAUUUAUAGUUAUUGAUAAUAGCAUAGAAAUCAUUUUUUAUUUGGAUAUAGUUUUAGACCUUUGGUGGGUUAUCUCACUGAGGAUUAUGGGUGUGUGAGAAGUAUUGGGGUGUCAAGAGGUGUUUGGAAGAUCAUGAUGAGCCCAAGGGUUUACUAUACUAAAAAAAGGUUAUGGAGUCAUUUGUGUACAAUAAUAAAAAUGGAGAAAUAAUUGAGUCAACGACCCACAUGGUCAAUGAAUAGGUGUUGUAGCAGGUGCAAAACUUAUUGUUGGCUUGGAGUUAACAUCAAUCAAUAGUGUGGAAAGUCAUCUAUAGUCAAAGUAACAAGUUGCAGUCAACUGAUAGUCAAGACCCUAGAGGAGAUGAAGCUCAAUAAAGUGAUGGCAACCGGUGGAUAUGGAGUAUCUGUCUUUUUUUUAUUGCAGCAGUACCAUGAUCAUCAAGACUGGUGUUUUCUCAGUAUUUGGAUCAUUUUUAUAUGGGUCGGUAUCUAAGUAAAAUCCCGCAAGUCAAAGCUAGAAAACAGCCAACAUAUUUCAAAGAUCAGGCCAUGCUGUAAUGUUUCAUAGUCAAAUUUCAAACAUCUUAUGGAUGGUCAAAAUGUGGCCUACAAAAGUCAAACCUGGUUAGAGUAUGCAGAAAUAGUCAAAGACCCAAUAAGUAUCUUGGGUCAGGCCUUUUAUUGGGCCGGGUAGGAUGGAUAAUAAGAUAACAUUGGUUUAGGCAGGAAGGUUGUUAUGGGCCUUUAUUUGUUUCUAAUGGACAGAAAAUGUUUUAAGAUUUCCAGCCAUGGUUUCAAUGCCCAUUUGAGCAAA